UUUAUUCAUCAGUCUGGUUGAUGUUAAUAGUGGGGAGGAUGAAUAAGAGGAGAUAUUGGAAAAUGAGGAAGCGGAGUAACUACACGGAAUGUUGGCCCAAAGGAUUGAUUCUAAAUAAUUGUUUCACUGGAAAUGAACAAGCACUCUUGGAGGAUUGAAGAGGAAGAAGUUUUUGAGGAAAAUUUCAAUUGUUGUAAUGAUUUCAAUAACUGAAUGAUCUGUAAUAGAGA